GGGUGAGGGAGGCCUGUCUUGGUCCUAGGAUGAGAAGAGGAGGAGGAGCUACAGCUAAAGGGGAACAGGACGCUGUGGAAGGACCACAUAUCUGGGAGGGUCCAGUGCAAGUGACUCUGUAAACACAGCUCCGGGCAACACCGUCCCCAUCUUCUUCCAGGGCCACAAUGUCCACACUUUCGACCUGAAGUUGGUGUGGGUGGACCCCAGCCAAGACAAGUGUGUGCUCCACAUCCUCACUCCUGAAGACGAGUUCUCCUUUUGCACCAGAGACCCCCAAGGCCAGGUUGUCUGGCAGUGGAAGGUGACCCAGGCUGUGUGCCAGGCCCUAUGUGGCAAGAAGGACUUCCCUGUGCU
rnacentral:lncRNA from 1 species